GUGUCAGCAGCCGCGGUAACACGGGGGGAGCAAGCGUUGUUCGGAAUCACUGGGCGUAAAGGGCGUGCAGGCGGUUAGGUAAGUGGGGUGUGAAAUCCCUCGGCUCACCCGAGGAUCUGCAUCCCAAACUGCCUAGCUUGAGUAUGGGAGAGGAUGAGGGAAUUCCUGGUGUAGCGGUGAAAUGCGUAGAUAUCAGGAGGAACACCGGUGGCGAAGGCGCUCAUCUGGCCCAAUACUGACGCUGAGGCGCGAAAGCUAGGGGAGCAAACGGGAUUAGAUACCCCCGUAGUCC
rnacentral:rRNA from 1 species